CCGGCGCUGAAGCGGCGACGGCGGGAGUCGCUGCUGAGGCAGCCGCGGGCGCGGGUCGCUUCGGCGCUGCUCCGCGGGGCCGGGCCGGGCUGGCUGCAGCUGGCGCCUGGCGGUGAGGGCGGGCUCCCGGGACAGGCGGAAUGGCCCCCACCUAGGGCAGUGGAAGAAGCGGCUGAGCACAGGAUGCUGGGGAGGCGGCGCGGCGGCUCCUCACUCAUCCCAGAGUCUCCCAGAUUUUUAGCGUGCACAUCUGAGAGGAUGCCCACUUAUCAGUAGAAGAAAUAGAAGCGGAAGAGAGAUUUACUGGGGAAGAUGCAUUCCAUUUGGUCUUCCUUGAAUUUGACCUGCCAGUGGAACAUCCAGGAAGAGCUGAAUUGUGCCUUUGUCUUUGAAUGAUCAGAUGUUGAUCUUCUUUCUUCAGUAGAAUCUCCAUGGCCUGAACAUUUUCUGAAAAUUAUUUUGAGCAGACUAUCUGUUUAAUAACAAGAUAACCACAUCAAGAUGGUUGGAAAACUGAAGCAGAACUUACUAUUGGCAUGUCUGGUGAUUAGUUCUGUGACUGUGUUUUACUUGGGCCAACACGCCAUGGAAUGCCAUCACCGAAUAGAAGAACGUAGCCAGCCUCUCAAAUUGGAGAACACAAAGACCACUGUGCGAACUGGUCUGGACAUCAAAGCCAAUAAAACCUUUGCCUAUCACAAAGAUAUGCCUUUAAUAUUUAUUGGAGGUGUGCCUCGGAGUGGAACCACACUUAUGAGGGCCAUGCUAGAUGCACACCCCGAUAUUCGCUGUGGAGAGGAAACCAGGGUGAUUCCCCGAAUCCUGGCCCUGAAGCAGAUGUGGUCACGGUCAAGUAAAGAGAAAAUACGCUUGGAUGAGGCUGGUGUCACCGAUGAAGUGCUGGAUUCUGCCAUGCAAGCCUUCCUACUAGAAAUUAUUGUUAAGCAUGGGGAACCAGCUCCUUAUUUAUGUAAUAAAGAUCCUUUUGCCCUGAAAUCCUUAACUUACCUUGCUAGGUUAUUCCCCAAUGCCAAAUUUCUCCUGAUGGUCCGAGAUGGCCGGGCAUCAGUACAUUCAAUGAUUUCUCGGAAAGUUACUAUAGCUGGGUUUGACCUGAACAGCUAUAGAGACUGUUUGACCAAGUGGAAUCGUGCCAUAGAGACCAUGUAUAACCAGUGUAUGGAGGUUGGCUAUAAAAAAUGCAUGUUAGUUCACUAUGAACAACUUGUCUUGCAUCCUGAACGGUGGAUGAGAACACUCUUAAAGUUCCUUCAUAUUCCGUGGAACCACUCAGUAUUACAUCAUGAGGAGAUGAUUGGGAAAGCUGGAGGAGUAUCUCUGUCAAAAGUGGAAAGAUCUACAGACCAAGUCAUCAAGCCAGUCAAUGUGGGAGCACUAUCAAAAUGGGUUGGGAAGAUACCCCCAGAUGUUUUACAAGACAUGGCGGUGAUUGCACCUAUGCUUGCCAAACUUGGAUAUGACCCAUAUGCCAAUCCACCUAACUAUGGAAAACCUGAUCCCAAAAUCCUUGAAAACACUAGAAGGGAUAUUAGGAUGAUUGACUGUCUCCAUAAGAAAUAUGGUGAAGAUAGAUUUGUAAUUAGCUGCAAUUCAAUGUGAUGACUGCCAUAAAAGUCUAUAAAGGAGAAUUUCAGCUCCCUGAAUUUCUUAAAGAAAAACCUCAGACUGAGGAAGUGGAGUAGCAGAGCCAGGAACCACUUAACGUAUGUGAGGGAAGACUGCUGCCUUUCAACAGGAGGGAAAGUUCUAGGACUGGCUGUCCCCCGCUGAGAUCAGUAGAGCGUAUGUACCAUGGCCCGCAUCUCCUGUUGGCUUGCCGGUCUCCUCCCACUGCGAGGGUGGGAUGUCAGUAUACAUUUGGGCCUUCCUGAGUGAUCUUCCUGACUGCAGUGCUCUUGAUCCUAAUUACAUGCACAACCCUGUGGAUAAGAAGCCCAGAGGGAGCAUGUGCUUUCUGUUAAAACUGCUCUGGUCCUCAUCUUUUCUUACCAGAUUCCAAACUUUUGUUUCAAGGGGAGGGUUUUAAAAUGGAAUUCUAUAAGCAAAAUUGGGCAGUUUCAUCUUGGAAUAGGUUGUCUGUACAUGUUCUAAUGUUUCGUAGAACACUUCCUGUUUAAAUGUAUUGAUGUGGAUAAUAUUAAAUAUCUUAAUUAUUUAAAUAAUUCAUUGUAUUGUUUUUGAGAAGUUGAGGAAUUACCGUACAUUUACAACUUAAUGACUUUUGUAUUUUAUUUUUCAAAAUAAAAGCUUUAAAUGUGUGAAGCAUUUCUGGUGGUUUACAUGU